GACAGAGGAGGCGAGCGUUGUUCGGAAUCAUUGGGCUUAAAGCGCGUGUAGGCGGCUCCGUAAGUGUCUUGUGAAAUCCCGUGGCUCAACCACGGAACUGCUGGGCAUACUGCGGGGCUUGAGGUUGGUAGAGGUGCCUGGAACUCUUGGUGGAGCGGUGAAAUGUGUAGAUAUCAAGAGGAACGCCGGAGGCGAAAGCGGGGCACUGGGCCAAAUCUGACGCUGAGACGCGAAAGCGUGGGGAUCAAACAGG
rnacentral:rRNA from 1 species